rnacentral:snRNA from 1 species
AAAGCUAACACGGCCAACCAGAUCUGUUCUUUUCAGUUUAAUGUAAGUCACCGAGCUCCUAGUGUCUCCCUGCAACUGUCUUCUAACAAGUUUUCAAUAGAUCUGAAAGUUGCCCACGAGGCAACGUUCUAUAUUAAUAUUAUUUUUCGAAAUUCUGGAGCCGUUCUCUGGGCUUGCCCACGACGGUUUCAACUGUGUCUCCAUUAUUGCACUGUUUCUGGAUGAUGCGAAUAUAUG